rnacentral:rRNA from 1 species
GGUAGUCCACGCCCUAAACGAUGAUCACUCGAUGUGUGCGAUAUACUGUACGCGUCUGAGCGAAAGCAUUAAGUGAUCCACCUGGGGAGUACGACCGCAAGGUUGAAACUCAAAGGAAUUGACGGGGGCCCGCACAAGCGGAGGAGCAUGUGGUUUAAUUCGAUGAUACGCGAGGAACCUUACCAGGGCUUGAAAGUUAAGGAAUGAUGUAGAAAUAUGUCAGUCAGCAAUGACCUGAAACUAGGUGCUGCAUGGCUGUCGUCAGCUCGUGCCGUGAGGUGUUGGGUUAAG